AAGACAUACCAAGAAUGGUUGGGGGUUGAAGGAAAACUUGAUGACAUCAGUAAUAUCCCUCUCCUAAUUGUCAAACAAAUUACCAUUCUUUGUCAGACUUCAAAUUAUGCUAGCUCAUCAUGUGACAAAAUUGUCUGCAGAUGCGUAUUUGAAUCCUACCAUUCAUAUACAUUCCAGUCAAGACAGCAACCCAACACCUCCAGUGCAGCCACCAUCUCAUGCUCGGCGUUGGACAUAGGGGCAAGGAAAUGGCUCAGAAAAUGGGCAGAAAAGGGGAUGUGGUCCCCUAAAAGGCUUGAAGGCAAUCUCCAAGAGAAUCAAGGUGGGCAAUCAGAAGAUCAAAGUUGACUUCUCCAGACUUGGAGGACCGGUAGGUGAUAACUACCGCUCAUUCGUUGAUGAAAUAGUAAUGUUUACAAGGAAAAGGGCGCCACUCAUUGGAGUGAAAACGUGAAAAUGUGUCCAUGAAGAUGUAAAAGAGUCAAUAGCAUCUGAUAUAUUGGCUAGGUGGGACAUUGAGGAUAAUGAUCAUUCAAGGAGAAUCAUAUGGGACAUUGCUAAGGAGCGUUACAAAGGAUGGCGUUUAACUUUCAGUGCUACGGCCAAGGCAUACAACAGCUACCACCAGAGAAUGCUACAUAAGCCUAAAGAAUUAGAUAUUAUUGAA